UACGUAGGGUGCAAGCGUUGUCCGGAAUUAUUGGGCGUAAAGAGCUCGUAGGCGGUUUGUCGCGUCGAAUGUGAAAACCCGGGGCUCAACCCCGGGCCUGCAUUCGAUACGGGCAGACUAGAGUUCGGUAGGGGAGUCUGGAAUUCCUGGUGUAGCGGUGAAAUGCGUAGAGAUCAUGAGGAAGACCAGUGGCGAAGGCGGGUCUCUGGACAGUUCCUGACACUGAGACACGAAGGCCAGGGGAGCGAACAGG
rnacentral:rRNA from 1 species